rnacentral:rRNA from 1 species
CUAAAAGUGAAGAUAUUCCUAUGGUUUCUCAAUAGAGGGGUGAUUUUAAUUAGGAAUAAUUUGGCACGACGAAACUGGCAAGGGUGUAAAAAAUGUGUUUUCUGCCAUCAUGAUGAGUCCAUUAAACACUUAUUUUUUUAAUGCAAGUUUGCUCGGUCUGUCUGGGCCAUUGUCCAAAUAGCUUCGAAUCUUUAUCCCCGUAGUGCACGGAAUAUGUUCGGCAACUGGUUGAGGGGAAUAGAUAAACAAUUUUCUGCACACAUUCUUGUGGGGGCGGCCGCUUUAUGUUGGGCUCUGUGGCUCACCAGGAAUGACAUUGUUUUUAACCAUAAAUGUGUUUCAUCUACUAUGCAGGUUAUUCAUAUAUGUUCGCGAUGGUUCCAUAUGUGGUCUAUCCUACAGAGGCCGGAGGACAGAGACCUUUUUAUGAUGGCGUCUAUUCGGCUGGAGCGUUCAGUCAGAGAGAUUUUCUACCCCAUGGAUGGCGGUGUGAUCUUCGGAUAA